rnacentral:rRNA from 1 species
GUUAGGAAUAUUGGACAAUGGGCGAAAGCCUGAUCCAGCCAUGCCGCGUGAACGAUGAAGGCCUUUGGGUUGUAAAGUUCUUUAGCCGAUGAUUAUAAUGACUGUAGUCGGAAAAUAAGCCCCGGCUAACUUCGUGCCAGCAGCCGCGGUAAUACGAAGGGGGCGAGCGUUAUUCGGAAUCACUGGGCGUAAAGCGUGCGUAGGCGGUUUUGUAAGUUAGGAGUGAAAGCCCAGGGCUCAACCUUGGAAUUGCUCUUAAAACUGCAAGGCUCGAAUCUCGGAGAGGAUAGCGGAAUUUCCAGUGUAGCAGUGAAAUGCGUAGAUAUUGGAAGGAACACCAGUGGCGUAAGCGGCUAUCUGGACGAGUAUUGACGCUGAGGCACGAAAGCGUGGGGAUCAAACAGGAUUAGAAACCCCAGUAGUCC